GACAGAGGGUGCAAACGUUGUUCGGAAUUACUGGGCGUAAAGCGCGUGUAGGCUGUUCGGAAAGUCGGAUGUGAAAGCCCUGGGCUUAACCCAGGAAGUGCAUUCGAAACUCCCGAACUCGAGUCCUGGAGAGGAAGGCGGAAUUCUCGGUGUAGAGGUGAAAUUCGUAGAUAUCUGGAGGAACACCGGUGGCGAAGGCGGCGUUCUGGACUGCAACUGACACUGAGGAACGAAAGCCAGGGGAGCAAACGGG
rnacentral:rRNA from 1 species